GACAGAGGUUUAGUGGUUAGCACAUUUGCCUCACAUCUAGAGGGUUGGGGGUUCAAUUCCCGCCAUGGCC